rnacentral:lncRNA from 1 species
UAAACUCAGAGGUAUCACCAAUAUUAACCAUUUUUUACUGAGAAACUUGUAAUUUGUAAGAUAGAAACCCUAAUUGUUCCUAGAUACACAAGGACUUCAGGAAACAAAUUAAUCCUAUGUUUGAACCGACGAGAAGAAGUAUGAGACUAAGAAAACUCAGAAAAAUCAACAAUUACCGAAGAAUAUCCAGAGAAAAUAGAGAGAAAGAGAAAACCCUAGAUUUGCGAGAGAAGACAGAGACGUUGACGAAAAACGGUGAGGGUAACAUCGCGACGGAGCCCGUGACGACCGGAAUCGGAAUCUCUGCUCUAAUACCAUGUCAUGAUUAUUGAUUUCCAUUGAUGAACAUAUUAUUUUCCAGAUGAAAGAGAGAGAGAGAGAAGAACCGAGAGAGUUUCAUUACUGUUCUUGAGUAAAAUGAUACAAC